rnacentral:rRNA from 1 species
UACGUAGGGUGCGAGCGUUGUCCGGAUUUAUUGGGCGUAAAGAGCUUGUAGGCGGCUCGUCACGUCGGGUGUGAAAACUUGCGGCUUAACCGCAAGCCUGCACCCGAUACGGGCGGGCUAGAGUUCGGCAGGGGAGACUGGAAUUCCUGGUGUAGCGGUGGAAUGCGCAGAUAUUAGGAGGAACACCGGUGGCGAAGGCGCUGCUCUGGGCCGAAACUGACGCUGAGGAGCGAAAGCGUGGGUAGCAAACAGG